UACGGAGGAUCCGAGCGUUAUCCGGAUUUAUUGGGUUUAAAGGGUGCGUAGGCGGCCUGUUAAGUCAGGGGUGAAAGACGGUAGCUCAACUAUCGCAGUGCCCUUGAUACUGAUGGCUAGAAUGUACUAGAGGCAGGCGGAAUGUGACAAGUAGCGGUGAAAUGCAUAGAUAUGUCACAGAACACCAAUUGCGAAAGGCAGCCUUGCUAUGGUAUAAUUGACGCUGAGGCACGAAAGCGUGGGGAUCAAACAGG
rnacentral:rRNA from 1 species